rnacentral:lncRNA from 1 species
GUCCCUAGCUCCAGAUUUAGCCCUUCAUGAUUGAGCAGAUUACUGAGGCCCACCUCCGCCUCUUUCCUCCUCUGUCAAACCAAAGAGCUGCUCCUGAAACAAAGUCUGAAGAUUCUUUGAGAACUGAAUUGACAUGUAGCCCCUUGGUUGUCCCCUUCUGUAGGCUCUCCAGUAUUUACCCAUCUCCAAAGCUCUGAGUGUAGCUGUUGACGAAGUCCCUGAGGUUGGUCAGGAAAAUGAAGUUUCCUGUUGAUGACACUGACCCUGACAUCCAGGGUUCUGCAUCUCCAGACUCUACGAAUGCCAGUGUUUCAGGGCCAAUGAGAACAGAAACUGCUUUCGUUCUGCCCCAACACACAACAGAAACAGAAGAACUGAAACCUCAGCUGAGGCUUCUGCUCUCGCAUUUCAGUAUCUCUUAUGACGUGGAAGAGCUGAGCGAUGCUUCUAAGGAGACAGAACUUUUUGCCUUGGUUUCCCCAAAAUUUCAAAGCAUCUUCAUGGAACAACAGAGAAUGCAAACGUUUCCAGACUAUAAUGCUGGGAUAGCUAAAGUGGAAAAUUUGAAUUUGGCAGGACCUCGUAGGGCCUUGAAAAAGGGAGCCAACUGGACUUCCUUUAUAAAGAUUAAGCCAAAAUGUGAUCCUUGGCAAAAGAAGCUUUUGACCAAACUAAAAGAACGGAGAAGAAUAGAUGUAUUAAUGCAACUCCAAGCAAAGUUUUUGAAGAUUUCCAAUCCUGAGCGAGUAAUGCAAGUGCUCCAGGAUCAUGCUGCAAAGACAGUCUUGCUGGCUUCAUCUCAUCCAACAUGUGUGGCUUCCCAGGGCAACUAUGACCAAAUCUGGGAGACUAUUUAUAGCAACAUCAACCUCUACCAGAAUGAAAACACUAAGGAAGAUGACCUUUCAGUGCAACGAGAUGAAAAUGACCCAGCACUAAUAAAUCUUAGCCAGUGUGCUAAUAAGCCUGUGAAGCAGAAGAAAGAGACAGGGUAAAAUGAAAUCACUUAAUGGUGACUCAAGAAAAUGGAUUAAACACUGGGAAAAAACUGAAUGAUUAAUAUGUCAGUUACAAGUUAACUAAAAAAUAUUUAAGGCUGAAAUAAAAGUAGUGUUAUAGCCGACCA